rnacentral:misc_RNA from 1 species
AGCGCCGAGCACCGAGCACGUCAUUGGUGGCCCCCACAAUUACCAUCCGCCAGUCGCGCGUGCAGUCCGCUCCCCUUUCCGCCGAAAUGUGGCUCGUGUAAUCCAAGUUUUCACUUGUUGCGUCAUAGCAGACGCUCUUUUACACACGCAUACGUCAGUGUCUUAAAGAACCGUCUGCAGACUUUCGUUAAUCUACGCCCGAGGAUCGAGCAAACAGUGCACCGCCUUUGUCGCCGUGCGGCCCGAUACAGCGUCCGUUCUGCCGCGUCAUGGCGCGUUGCUUCGUCAGCUUCGUCGCGUGACGAAGGUGAACUCUGAAUCGCAAGAUGCUCACGCUCAGCGUGGUCGAGUUCGAGGUGACCACGGUCACCGAGAUCGUCGUCCAGCACUCCCGCUCCUCGAGUCGCGCCAGCGGCGUGGAAUCGCCGGCGGCAGCCACCCCGAGCAAGGACUGCGGCGGGAGCGGCUUCGAGCUGAAGCGGCGCUCGGGCGCGUCGUCUUCGGCGACGAUGGACGACCCGUGUGGCGACGGCGACGAGACGCAAGCCAUCCAGUCCCUGGACUCCCUGAACGAGCAGAUCGUGCGCUACGUCCUGAGAUCGCCGGCAGGACCGGACGACAGCUUGGCCGGGGCACCUCAGCAGCGGCCCCAGCCAGAAGAACAGCCGCUGCAGGGAAAGAAGCAGCCGCAGCGCCCCCUUCCGGGCGCCAAUACGCACGAGGCGGGCGUCGGACGGGCAGGCGAGGCGACCGGGACGCUCGUCGGCGGCGGCCAUGAGCAGCAGGUGGCGCUGCAGUCCUCGAUGGCGCUCAUGCGCAGACUGCUGGUGGACGCCCAGGCCAAGUUCCGAAACAUGAUGGACGACAACAAGGCGCUCGCGUCUCGCAUCGACGGCGACCUGCAACAGGCUCAUCAAGAAGUGUCACAGCUGCGUGCCGAGCUGCAGGACACCAACAGCCGCAUCUCCAGCAUGGCCGCCGCCGUGCAGAUACCGUCGGCGACGGCGGGAAGCCCGGCCUUCCUGUGUUCCAACGCCGGCUACGCGUCGCCGUCUCCUCUGUCCUCUUCUGGUGAACCCCCGCCGCCCCCGGCGCCAAUGUCGUCGUCGUGUCCGCCAAACAUUCCUCAGCAGAUCAUACCCAGUCUGCUGAAGUCCUGCCCUCGAUGUCAAGAGGGCCUGCUAGAAGACGGCUACCGAACGGCGGACUCGGAGCCCAAGGCCGCCGUCAGCGUGCAGACGGACGAAGUGACCACGACGACGACCACCACCUCUGGGGCGAACGUGAACGGAGGCGUCCGCGACUCGGUCGAGGAGGACGACGGGGCAGCCGACUGUCUUCCGCUCGAGGAGCGGCUCCAGCGGCUGCAGGAGGACAAGCGGCAGCUCGCGCAGCACAACCUGAACCUGCAGAAGGAGCUGGACGAGCUCAGGGCCGCCCAGGCGAAGCAGAAGCUCUGCGCCCUGGAAGAGCACGACCGGAUGCAAGCGGAACUCAGCAGUGCCAGAGACGCCCUGUCAGCUCUGAAGCAGGACCGCAAGCGGCUGAAGGCGGAGAAGUUCGACCUGCUCAACCAGAUGAAGCAGCUCUACGGCACGCUGGAGGACAAGGAGAAGGAACUGCGGGACUUCAUACGCAACUACGAACAGCGAAUGCACGACAGCGACCACAGCCUCAAGCAGCUGGCGCAGGAGCGAGAGGAGUGCGACCGCGAGCGCUGGAACCUGCUGAAGCACGCUCGCGACGAGGCCGAGCGCAGCGUGGCCCUGCGAGCACAGCUGGGCAUCAAGGAGGCGCACAUCAAGCAGCUCCAGGAACAACUGCAGCAGGUUCAGGAAAAGCUGACGUACCUGUCAGACGUGGAGAGCCUCCAGGGCGUCGCUGGAAGCAGCAAUGGCUUCCAGCAAGGCGCGCUGUCUCGACGAAGCUGCCGCAGUCCUGCUGUUGGAAGCGAGCCGCCCGUGGUCACCCUGGGAUACGACUCCAGCCCCAGCCACCACGCGGCGAGCAGCGGCAGCGGCGCCAUGGACAGCCCCAAGAAGUCGCCGGUGUCGGCGGCCUCGGCGUCCGCGCUGCCGGGCCUCUCGCGAUCCGCCGAGGAGAUCUACCAGAGCAGCGGCUCGUCGGACGCCAGCACGCCCCGGGGCGCCCCCGGAAAGCCCAAGAAGCGCCGAGACGGCCGCUCGCCCUGGGGUUCCAUCUCCCGGGUGUUCCUCAGGGCGCGCCAGAGGAAGGCGCUCGAGCCGGCGCUAUACGGCACCACGACGGGCCCGGAGUCCUCGCCUCAGCACCACAGCCACCACCUGCAGCUCCAGCAGCAGCGGCAACGGUGCUCGUGGUCUCCACAGGGUGGCGCUGGUCCCAGCCUGGGCGGUCCUCCGCUGCUGACGCAAGAGGAGGCGGCCGAGAAGCUCCGCCUACUGGAAGAGGCCCAGGGGACGCCCAUGGAGCGCUGGAAGGCGCCCACGGUGCUCGCCUGGCUGGAGCUUGCGCUCGCCAUGCCUCAGUACGGACCCAUGUGUGCCGAGAACGUCAAGAGCGGCAAGAUCUUGCUGGAGCUUUCCGACGCCGAGCUCGAAGCUGGGCUGGGCAUCACUAACGUCAUGCACAGGAGGAAGCUGCGUCUUGCCAUCGAGGAGCACCGAGAACCCUCUAUAUGCCCGUACCCCAAGAUGUGCCUGGUGACGCACACUUGGGUGUGCGGCGAGUGGCUGUCCAGCCUGGGACUGUCCGCGCACGCGGACAACUUCCGCGCGCAGCUCGUGGACGGCCGAGUCCUGGACACUCUGAGUCGGCGAGACCUCGAGAAGCGCCUGGGGAUGGCGAACCGACACGAGCAGACGUCGCUCCUGCGAGGCGUCCAGCUCCUGCGCGCCCUGCGGUUCGACCUGCGUGCGCUGGCGCACAGGCGGGCGCACUGCCGGCACCUGGACGUGGACCCCCUGGUGUGGACCAACCAGCGAUUCAUCCAGUGGGCCCGGUCCAUCGACCUCGGGGAGUACGCGGAGAACCUGCGCGACAGCGGCGUACACGGCGCCCUCGUGGUGCUGGAGCCUUCGUUCACGGCCGACACGAUGGCCCAGGCGCUGGGCAUUCCCGUCUCCAAGAACAUCAUCCGGCGGCACCUCACCACCGAGCUCGAGAACCUCGUGCAGCCGGCCAGGAUGUCCCUGGAGGCGGAGGCCGUGGUGGAGAGCAAGCGUAGCGGUGAGCGGUUGUCCUCUGCGACGGGCUCCCUGGGCAGGAGCUUCGGCCGCUCCCGGGCACGCUCCUCCGAGAGGGGCGCCUCGGACAAGAGGCGCUCCAGCAUACGGCUGAGCCUCUCCUAGAAGACAGCGCCAUUCUCCUCUUCUCAAAAAAACAAAAAACACUCUCGCCUUGGAAUGCCAUCUUAAUCCCUACUCAUCACUCUUUACCCGAACGGACUCCCUGGGCCGCGUGCUGGGCUUCAACUCGCUUCCCAAACCCAGCACGAGUGGUCUGGGCUCCUACAACGUCACGACGACAUCGGUGGUAAUGUCGAAGCCUCCUCCGGCGCCGCGAGUCUUUCGGCCCAGCACGCCUC